UCUUUUUAAAAAAUGCAUUUCUAAAGUGCAUAAACUUUUGGAAUUGAUUGUAUAGCCAAUACAUCCUUAAAAUAAACAGUUCAAGGACUCCUGCCAUGACCAAAGGAUCAGAGAUAAAAAAGGUAAGAGUAGAAAAAGCGUGAGGGCGUCGAAGAAGAAAUCGUCGCACUACAGCAAAGUGGAGAGCAAGCACUCCAGGUUCGACUGCAGACAGACGCAUCGGCUGCGAAAGCACGCGGCCGCGAUCAGGUUGCAACAGGAACGCGAGGACAUACGGAAUUAUUUACUACAAUUGGAACGCACUCGAUUAGAGUAUGGGCCGGGCGAGUCCGCGACCACUAAUCCUAUCACUGCCUUCAGAAGACUCGAGUUUCCAAGAAUUGAGGCUUUCGCGAGACCCGACGCAGAGGAGGCUAGUCUGAAACCGAGAUAUGAGACUACUGGACUACGAGAGAGAAUUCUGAUGAUUAAACAGUGGCUGAAAGAUCAAUAUAUUCUUUACAGAGAUUAUAGCAAUCUGGCACAAACGAUCAACUCGAAAUAUAUUCCUGCCAGCCUAGAAGAUGCGAAAAAGACGAUUCGUCAGUUGCAGAGAGCAACGGUCGAGACGAGGUGACCGGUCCUUUCUAUGAACGCGGCUGGAACCGGCACGUGCCGCGCUGUUAAACGGAAUAGUGAGCGGCGUUUGUUGUAUCGCGUUACUUCCUUCGUGGCGAUCGUGUGUGCCUUUUCCCCCUGUCCUGUACCAGUUUCGUCGAAUAAACUCGUCUUGAAUUUCUACUAA